rnacentral:lncRNA from 1 species
CCGUGCACUUCACCUAACAGUUAUUGGUAACAUGAAUGAAUACCGAUGCAUGGAUAACUCUUUGUUCAGAUACUUUUCUAAGCAUGUUGCAGCUACUUGAUCUCUAAGUCAUAUGGGCUCACCUAAUAGUUAUUGCCGACACUCCUUAGUUAAGUCAAACCCACCGUUCACAAGCAGGUGUAAAGCCAUCAUUGAAUCUCUCACCUAACAGUUAUUGGAUUAAAUCCCAUCUUUACUCCAC